GUAGGGAAUCUUCCACAAUGGACGAAAGUCUGAUGGAGCAACGCCGCGUGAGUGAAGAAGGUUCUCGGAUCGUAAAACUCUGUUGUGAGGGAAGAACAAGUACCGGAGUAACUGCCGGUACCUUGACGGUACCUCAUUAGAAAGCCACGGCUAACUACGUGCCAGCAGCCGCGGUAAUACGUAGGUGGCAAGCGUUGUCCGGAAUCAUUGGGCGUAAAGCGCGCGCAGGCGGUCCCUUAAGUCUGAUGUGAAAGCCAACGGCUCAACCGUGGAGGGUCAUUGGAAACUGGGGGACGUGAGUGCAGAAGAGGAAAGCGGAAUUCCAAGUGUAGCGGUGAAAUGCGUAGAGAUUUGGAGGAACACCAGUGGCGAAGGCGGCUUUCUGGUCUGUAACUGACGCUGAGGCGCGAAAGCGUGGGGAGCAAACAGGAUUAGAUACCCGAGUAGUCC
rnacentral:rRNA from 1 species